GAAUGACGGAUCUGCAACUUGGUUCAAAGAAUGACCGCAACUCGAUCCAUGGUGGAACCUGCAACUUAAUUCGAAGAAACGACUUGCGUUUAAGUUCUUAUAGUUACACCAACUCAGUACAUAAAGAAUUCAUAAAACCCCUUCAAGUUGCGAUUUCUGUUGUGUUCAAUCUCACUUUCUCCUCUGAGAUUCAAAGUGGUCGCUGCCCAGAUCAUCAUUGCUUAGGUCCCCAUUAAUCCGUUUAUCAAUUCACGGCACAAGUAAGGCAAGUAAAAAUAAAAAAAGAUCUAUGAUGAAUACAAUGGAGAGAGGGAGAUGCUAUAUUGGUGGAUUGCAGGAGCGAGAGGGGAUUGAAAGAGGGUUCAAUGGCAGUGGAAGAAAGAGGGAAAAGAGAGUGUGCAUUUAGUGGUGAUGGAGAGAAUGGAGUUGUAAUAUCAGAUUCAUUGUAACUAGAGUGGGAAAGACCGAAACAGGGUUCAGUGGAGGUGGAAGAAAGAUGUAAAGAGAAGGGUGCAUUGGAGAUGGAAAGAAUGGAGAAGCAAUGUCAAAUGCAUUUAACGGUUAACGUUGACGUGAAUGGAUUCGUAGCAGAGCGAAACCCCACCCUACCACUCAGCUCAGCUGAUCAGAAAGCUUGAAGUGGAUGAAAUGGACGGUCGUAGUUGCUCAGGUCAUCGUCGUUCAAGUUGCCAUUGCUCAGGUCGCCAAUGGAGGAGAGGAUCAAAUCUAUCAUUAGGUCGCCUACAAUUUGCAGGUCUUCAAACCAUGGAAAGUGGGGUGUGAAAGUGUUCCGAAGAUAUAGGUAAGAUUAAAAUGGUCUUUUCAUGUUUUAAGUUGUUGUGAGUUAACACUGUUAGUCUGAAAAUGGGACGGUUGCAAUAAUUUCUCGA